GUCUACAGCCAUGCCACCCUGAACAAGCCCGAUCCUGUCUGAUCAUGGAAGCUAAGCAGGGUUGGGCCUGGUUAGUACUUGGAGGGAGACUACCUAGGAGGACCACCUAGGAAGACCAGGUGCUGUAGUAG
rnacentral:rRNA from 1 species